UGUAGCUCAGUAGUACAGCAUUUGCCUAGCAUGCACAAGGUCCUGGGUUCAAUCCCCAGUA
rnacentral:tRNA from 1 species